rnacentral:rRNA from 1 species
ACGCUCGACACCUACGGGAGCAGCAGUGGGGAAUAUUGCACAAUGGGGGAAACCCUGAUGCAGCGACGCCGCGUGAAGGAUGAAGUAUUUCGGUAUGUAAACUUCUAUCAGCAGGGAAGAAAGUGACGGUACCUGACUAAGAAGCCCCGGCUAACUACGUGCCAGCACGCCGGACGGUAAUCUGAGGCGGGCUGGACGAAGGC